GAGGAAUCUUGCGCAAUGGGCGAAAGCCUGACGCAGCAACGCCGCGUGGAGGAUGAAGGUCUUCGGAUCGUAAACUCCUGUCAGAUGGGGCGAAGGUCCACCGCCUAAUACGCGGUGGUCUUGACGGUACCAUCAGAGGAAGCCACGGCUAACUCUGUGCCAGCAGCCGCGGUAAUACAGAGGUGGCGAGCGUUAUUCGGAAUUAUUGGGCGUAAAGGGCGCGUAGGCGGCCAGAUAAGUCCCGGGUGAAAUCCCUCGGCUCAACCGAGGAACUGCCUUGGAAACUGUCUGGCUCGAGGCCGGGAGAGGGUAGUGGAAUUCCCAGUGUAGCGGUGAAAUGCGUAGAUACUGGGAGGAACACCGGUGGCGAAGGCGGCUACCUGGACCGGUUCUGACGCUGAUGCGCGAAAGCGUGGGGAGCAAAC
rnacentral:rRNA from 1 species